GAUGAACGCUGGCGGCGUGCCUAAUACAUGCAAGUCGAGCGAACAGACGAGGAGCUUGCUCCUCUGACGUUAGCGGCGGACGGGUGAGUAACACGUGGAUAACCUACCUAUAAGACUGAGAUAACUUCGGGAAACCGGAGCUAAUACCGGAUAAUAUAUUGAACCGCAUGGUUCAAUAGUGAAAGACGGUUUUGCUGUCACUUAUAGAUGGAUCCGCGCCGCAUUAGCUAGUUGGUAAGGUAACGGCUUACCAAGGCAACGAUGCGUAGCCGACCUGAGAGGGUGAUCGGCCACACUGGAACUGAGACACGGUCCAGACUCCUACGGGAGGCAGCAGUAGGGAAUCUUCCGCAAUGGGCGAAAGCCUGACGGAGCAACGCCGCGUGAGUGAUGAAGGUCUUCGGAUCGUAAAACUCUGUUAUUAGGGAAGAACAAAUGUGUAAGUAACUAUGCACGUCUUGACGGUACCUAAUCAGAAAGCCACGGCUAACUACGUG
rnacentral:rRNA from 1 species